rnacentral:misc_RNA from 1 species
GAUGAAGAACGCAGCGAAAUGCGAUAAGUAAUGUGAAUUGCAGAAUUCAGUGAAUCAUCGAAUCUUUGAACGCACAUUGCGCCCCCUGGUAUUCCGGGGGGCAUGCCUGUUCGAGCGUCCUUUCACCACUCAAGCCUCGCUUGGUAUUGGGCAACGCGGUCCGCCGCGUGCCUCAAAUCGACCGGCUGGGUCUUCUGUCCCCUAAGCGUUGUGGAAACUAUUCGCUAAAGGGUGUUCGGGAGGCUACGCCGUAAAACAACCCCAUUUCUAAGGUUGACCUCGGAUCAGGUAGGGAUACCCGCUGAACUUAAGCAUAUCAAUAAGCGGAGGA